rnacentral:lncRNA from 1 species
GCGGCUGCACCAGUACCCACCCCAGUUGCGACCCCUAGUCCCAGCAUAACGGCUAGGGUUAGGGAGACAGGCUCGCGCUGAAAACGGGUGGGAUGUCUGUCAUAUUGAUUUUUUAGAGUUUCAGCAGGGUGAUAGAACACCCUGGGCAUAAUCUGCACCAUAAUACAGAAGUCCUCAGAGUUAUUUAGGACCUGAGCAGAUACACAGGGGGUGAGGCCUUUGUUGCAUGCCCACCAGGUUCCCGGCUGGGGCACCAGGUAAGAGUCAGUCCCUAAAAUCAGGGCGGCAAUAUUGCAGAGUUCCUGGUAACCCGGGUGAGUAUAGUUAGCCUUGACAGUGAUGUAAUCCCAGGAGGAGGAGGGCCUCCCAUCCUGUGUCUUCCGUAGUCUCGCACCCCCAAUUUUUACAAUAGAAGUAUUCCCCCCCUCCACAGGUGGGAUUUAGCCUGCGAUCUCUGUGGUACUCGGGACAGACAUAGAAGGGGUCUAAUCCUUUUCGUCUGGGGGGCUUUAGAGGUGUUGGAAUACCUCUCUAGGCCCCAUGGGCUGGGGGCCCCUAUGGUUAAUUUACAUAAGUCAGGAUAUAGGUUGGGCCACCAGGUUCCCAUGGGAGUAGUUUUUGUUAUUGACCUGACCUUGUCCCCCCCAGACGUUAAUACCUGCCAGGUUAACUUUUUUUUUUUUCUUUUAUC